AGCGAACGCUGGCGGCAGGCCUAACACAUGCAAGUCGAGCGCCCAGCAAUGGGAGCGGCAGACGGGUGAGUAACGCGUGGGGAUGUGCCCAAUGGUGCGGAAUAACCCAGGGAAACUUGGAUUAAUACCGCAUGUGCCCUUCGGGGGAAAGAUUUAUCGCCAUUGGAUCAACCCGCGUCUGAUUAGCUAGUUGGUGAGGUAAAGGCUCACCAAGGCGACGAUCAGUAGCUGGUCUGAGAGGAUGAUCAGCCACACUGGGACUGAGACACGGCCCAGACUCCUACGGGAGGCAGCAGUGGGGAAUAUUGGACAAUGGGCGCAAGCCUGAUCCAGCCAUGCCGCGUGAGUGAUGAAGGCCUUAGGGUUGUAAAGCUCUUUCGCCGGUGAAGAUAAUGACGGUAACCGGAGAAGAAGCCCCGGCUAACUUCGUGCCAGCCGCCGCCGUAA
rnacentral:rRNA from 1 species